UGGCGGAUGGAUAGGCAUGCAGUCGAGCGGUAGUUCUCCUUCGGGAGGACACGAGCGGCGAAAGGGUGAGUAACGCGUGAGGAACCUGCCCUAAGGUCGGGGAUAGCCCAUGGAAACGUGGAUUAAUACCGGAUGUGGCGGCUCUUUUAAUAGGAGCUCAGCCAAAGGCGCAAGUCGCUUCAGGAUGGGCUCGCGUUCCAUUAGCUAGUUGGUGAGGUAACGGCUCACCAAGGCAAUGACGGGUAGGUGGUCUGAGAGGAUGGUCACCCACACUGGGACUGAGACACUGCCCAGACUCCUACGGGAGGCUGCAGUCGAGAAUCUUCCGCAAUGCGCGAAAGCGUGACGGAGCAAUGCCGCGUGCAGGAUGAAGGCCCUAGGGUCGUAAACUGCUGUCACCCGGGAUGAAUAAAUGACAGUACCGGGAGAGGAAGCCACGGCUAACUACGUGCCAGCAGCCGCGGUAAUACGUAGGUGGCGAGCGUUAUUCGGAUUUAUUGGGCGUAAAGGGUUCGUAGGGGGCUAAGUAAGUCUGGUGUGAAAGCCUGUGGCUCAACCAUGGAAAGUCACUGGAUACUGGCGUGCUUGAGGACCGGAGAGGAGAGUGGAAUUCCUGGUGUAGCGGUGGAAUGCGUAGAUAUCAGGAGGAACACCGAUGGCGAAGGCAGCUCUCUGGACUGCUUCUGACCCUGAGGAACGAAAGCCGGGGUAGCAAACAGGAUUAGAUACCCUGGUAGUCCCGGCCGUAAACGUUGUACACUCGGUGUGGGGGGAUUUGACCCCCUCCGCGCCUAAGCUAACGCGUUAAGUGUACCGCCUGGGGAGUACGGCGGCAACGCUAAAACUCAAAGGAAUUGACGGGGGCCCGCACAAGCGGUGGAGCAUGUGGCUUAAUUCGAGGCAACGCGAAGAACCUUACCUGGGUUUGACAUAUACCGGACCGUCCUGGAAACAGGAUUUCUCUUUUGAGUCGGUAUACAGAUGCUGCAUGGCUGUCGUCAGCUCGUGCCGUGAGGUGUUCGGUUAAGUCCGGCAACGAGCGCAACCCGUGUGGUCAGUUACCAGCGCGUGAUGGCGGGGACUCUGGCCAGACUGCCCGUGUCAAGCGGGAGGAAGGCGCGGAUGACGUCAAGUCCGUAUGGCCCUUACAUCCAGGGCUGCACACGUGCUACAAUGGCCGGUACAAUGGGCUGCGACCCCGCGAGGGGGAGCCAAUCCCGAAACCCGGCCUCAGUUCGGAUCGGAGUCUGCAACUCGACUCCGUGAAGUCGGAAUCGCUAUAAAGGGGUAUCAGCAACGGCC
rnacentral:rRNA from 1 species